GUCUAUGGCCAUACCACCCUGAAUGCGCCCGAUCUCGUCUGAUCUCGGAAGCUAAGCAGGGUCGGGCCUGGUUAGUACUUGGAUGGGAAAGGCGUGCCUGGUGAGUCUGGCCA
rnacentral:rRNA from 1 species